UCCUUAGUACGAGAGGACCGGGAGGAACGAACCGCUGGUGUACCAGUUAUUCCGCCAGGAGUAGACGCUGGGUAGCCAAGUUCGGAGAGGAUAACCGCUGAAAGCAUCUAAGUGGGAAGCCCACCUUAAGAUGAGUGUUCUCACUACGAGAGUAGGUAAGGUCACGGGAAGAACACCCGUUGAUAGGCUUUAUGUGGAAGUACAGUAAUGUAUGUAGCAGAGAAGUCCUAACAGACCGAGGGCUUGACCUCAAA
rnacentral:rRNA from 1 species